rnacentral:misc_RNA from 1 species
GAUGAAGAACGUAGCGAAAUGCGAUACUUGGUGUGAAUUGCAGAAUCCCGUGAACCAUCGAGUCUUUGAACGCAAGUUGCGCCCGAAGCCAUUUGGUUGAGGGCACGUCUGCCUGGGCGUCACAUAUCGUUGCCCGAUGCCUAUUGCCCUGUGAUAGGAAAUUCUAGGGCGAAAGAUGGCUUCCCGUGAGCGUUGUUGCCUCGCGGUUGGUUGAAAAUCGAGUCCUUGGUAGGGUGUGCCAUGAUAGAUGGUGGUCGAGUUUGCACGAGACCGAUCAUGUGUGCGCUCCCCAAAAUAUGGACUCUUUGACCCCACACGCGUCUUUUGACGCUCAUGACGAGACCUCAGGUCAGGCGGGGCUACCCGCUGAGUUUAAGCAUAUCAAUAAGCGGAGGA